UCUAGAGGGAAAAAGGUAAUACUUUCUAAGGAAACCUUUAUUGUAUGGCGGCCUUUUUUCUUUUUAGAGGAACUCGUCUCAUAAUCGUCACUCCUCGUUAUUUCUUACUUUUUUUUAUUUCUUAUACCGCCGUCUUAAGAUUUAUUUUCCUUUUUCUAAAAAAAGAAAUUUUACCAAGUCAGGUAAAGGUGAGGAUUAUAAAAAAGAGAAGAUAAGUUACCUAUAAAAUUUAUUUUAGGAUAUAUCUUUAACAUGAAUAUUGAAAGAGGAUUUAAUAGUAAUUUUUUAUUAUUAUUUUAUAAUGAACUAGUAAAAUAGGUGU
rnacentral:rRNA from 1 species